UACAGAGGUCUCAAGCGUUGUUCGGAUUCAUUGGGCGUAAAGGGCGCGUAGGCUGCGGGGCAAGUCGGGUGUGAAAUCUCAGGGCUCAACCCUGAAACUGCACUCGAUACUGCUCUGCUUGAGGACUGGAGAGGAGACUGGAAUUCACGGUGUAGCAGUGAAGUGCGUAGAUAUCGUAAGGAAGACCAGUGGCGAAGGCGGGUCUCUGGACAGUUCCUGACGCUGAGGCACGAAGGUCAGGGGAGCAAACGGG
rnacentral:rRNA from 1 species